ACGCUCGACACCUACGGGAAGCAGCAGUGGGGAAUAUUGCACAAUGGGGGAAACCCUGAUGCAGCGACGCCGCGUGGAGGAAGAAGGUCUUCGGAUUGUAAACUCCUGUUGUUGGGGAAAAAGAGGAUGGUACCCAACAAGGAAGUGACGGCUAACUACGUGCCAGUAGCCGCGGUAAUCUGAGCGGGCUGGCAAGGC
rnacentral:rRNA from 1 species